rfam:Frondihabitans sp. Leaf304 contig_2, whole genome shotgun sequence.
UGGGUCGGCAAGACGGUCGCGUCGCGGAGCUCGCAAGGGCAUCGCGCCGAGGAACGUCCGGGCUCCACAGAGCAGGGCGGUGGGUAACACCCACCCGGGGCAACCCGCGAGACAGUGCAACAGAAAGUAGACCGCCACGGCGCCCUCUUCGGAGGCGCGACGGGGUAAGGGUGAAACGGUGGUGUAAGAGACCACCAGCGGUUCGGGUGACCGACCGGCUAGGUAAACCUCGCCCGGAGCAAGGUCAGACAGAGGGCGCAUGAGACUGCUCGUCCAGCCCUCGGGUAGACCGCUAGAGCGCUGCGGCAACGUAGAGCCGAGAUAGAUGGCCGUCCAUGCCUCACCGGUUGCGCAAGCGGCUGCGAGGCAAGACAGAACCCGGCGUACUAGCCGGCCCAUUCG